GAUUGGCAUUUUCAUUUGAUUGGCAAGAUUUUUUUGUGAAUGAACAUCUCUUGGAAUUGGACUUUUUGUGAAUGCUACAAUGAUUGACAAAUUUUUUUGGUUGGUUAUAUUUUAAUGUGGGAUAUUUUUUUUUGGUGUAGAACCUUAAGAGUUGGGGUAGUCUUCAAUUGUUGAAGCAAAGUUGGUAUGUUUUGUCACUAGACAUCAGAAAAAUUAUCAAUGCUACCAAUUUCGGGUCUUUGGAAUUAUGAUACCACUAAAUAUAAGGGCCUUCAACUGAUUAUGGCAUUAUCUGAAUGGUUUUGGGAUACCACCUGUACUUUCCAUUUUCCAGCUAUUAGUGAAGUGAUGUUGACGCCCUAUGAUUUUUCAGUCAUUACUGGCUUGAAAUUGGGCGGUGUUAGGGUUGAAGGUCAUGACAGCAUUUCAUCUACUAAGGUCGACGAUUACUUAGGUGUAAACCCACCUAGAGUUAGUGGUAACAAUGUGUCUCUGAUGUGGUUAUAUUUCAAUAUUGAAAAGAGUAAGAGUGUGGAUACUGGCACCCAAAUGUUCAUGCUUUCUUUCAUUUGGAGUCUUUGUGUCUUGACUUGGGGAGUACAAUGAGUCUUUGUUAUUUGUCGAGUUUGAGGGACACUUUACUACACUUUAUGACCCAGCUAUCUAGGCGUAGUCUUUCAAGUCUAGGGGGUGCGCCGUUUGUUUGGUUGGUAAGAAAAAAAAUUUCAUGUAUAUUUUGCCAAGGUUAUUUGUGUUGUUGUUGACAAUUGUUGAUUUUUGCAAGUUUGGAAGUUGGGCCACAACUUUUGGAAGACGUUGUUGAGGAAUUUCCAAGGUUCCUUUGUUGGAUGCCCAAGAACUGCCUAUCAACACUUCCAAAGCGCCCUUUGAAGGCUUGGCAAAUGAUGAUUGAUGGCUUAAACAUUGAAGAUGAUGAUUAAGCGCCCUUUGUUUGAUUUAUUUCAUGAAGGGAUGUCUUUUAAAUUUUGAACUAUUCAUGAAUUUUAGAUGAACUUGGAUCCUUAGGAAGGAUGUGAGGAUUAUGCUAAAUGUACAUUGGCUCUAGAAUUGAAUGAGCGUCAAGUCUUGUUUGAGUGUGGCCAUGGCAGGUAUUGGUGUCUUAGAGAUCGAGUGCUCCCACAGGUUUACCAUACAUAUCCUCCUAAAGUGAAUUCCGUCAAUCCUUGUCCUUCAAUCCAACUGGCCAAUCUUUUAACUGAUGAUGAAGUAGCUAAUGCAAGAGUUGGUCGUGACAAUCUUUGGAUACCUGGAGACUAUCUUGAAUUUGUUCAGACUCAUCUGCAAGGCCGCUUAAUCGAUGCCUCUGGAGCUUUGAUGAACUUCCUUUUCUCUCAAAUCAACUCUUAUUACCUUUGCUAUCCUUGGUUAUUUGUAAAAAAAUAUCUAAAUGUUCCGUUUGCAGGCUUUAGUCCAUGGAAUGGGAGGUUCUUUUCAGGAUAGGGCCACUCCUUCUCCCCAAGGCAAUGUUGAUAGUCCUGAUGCUUCUUUUGCGGAAACAUGUCCCAAUUUUCUAGCAUGGCAAUAUGAGAUAAUAAAUCUUGAUGGGUCUUAUAGUUUUAUGAAGUUAGACUGACCUAAAUAUGCUCAGAGUGUUCCUUGGAGCAGCCGGGAAAGCAUGAGAAUGAUUGGAGGUUUGCAACGGGUUACACACACCCAAUCUUCUCAAUAUGUACUAAAUGAAUUGAACUGGAAUAAUCGAAUGACAAAUGUCAAUGCCAACACUCAGGUUUUGGAAGAAAGGAUCAGAAACUUUGAACUUCAAGACAGGCAGCCUGGGCCUCAAAUUCAUGCUAACCAAGAACAACAAGGGAAUGCAGAGGGCGGUUCUUCUAGAGAUGGGCCAAGAAGAUCAUCCCUUUGGCAGACUCGGAGUCCGAAUGAUGCUUGAUUGUAUUUUUUUAUUUUCUUGCAAAACACCAAAACAUCCCUUAGUCAAAUAACUAGUAUUAACUUUCAAUAUUAA